UUUGAUCCUCAUAAACCACGUGGACCCGUAUGCACCAAAAUCACGCAAAUAAUCUCUCAAUUCUGUUCAAGCAUCUCAUGAUUAAAAAAAGUCACAGCCGUCCCACAAUAAAAAGAAUAGGUUUUUUUAAGUCUAAUAAUAAAAUGAAUAGGUGGACCCUUGAUGUCUACAAAAAAGAAUAGGUGGACACAUACCCUGCGCACCAAAAUCUUCAAACAAUCUCUCGCUCCAUGCCUUCCCUAAUCUACAUCUGUAAUCUUCCAUGAUUCAUCCAAGCCCUUUCCGAUCCAACAAAUCAUUGCCCCGUUUCUCCCCAAAAAACAAUCUUCUGUUGGCCACAUGAAGAACAACAAUUGGAGCUCUCGACGGGAUGCGAGUAUCUAUCAGGUGGAUCCUCCCACCGUAACUUCAGAAUAGCUCCGGUUGCAGAGACGCUGAUCGAGAGCCAUGAAGAAAGCUGCGGGUCUCCGUAUGAAAGAUGCACCAGAUCCCCUAAUUUGGAUGUUGAAUCUGAGUCCUCGACGUCGGAUUCAGGAUUCCCCACUCCCAGCAGCCAACGGAGAUGUUAAAUCGAGUAGCCCCAUCUCCAACAAAUCCGGAACAGAGCCAUGUUCAUGGCAGAGAAGGUACGCAUCCUGGGGACAACAAAUUUUUGUUAUUGAUUCCAUAUCUGAUGGAUUGAAAAGGACAAUUUAUUUACUCUGAACCUAGGAUUUGUCGUUAGAAAUAUGAUAUCUGUAAAGAACUAAUCAAGUGUUUGAUAGCACCAGUCUCCAAUACUAAGCGAGAGUUUUGCCUAGCGGUAACAACAUAUACAGAACAAAUGGCUUGUAGCACAAAAUUGUUAGCGACUACACCAGUGUCAAAUGCAUUGUACCUGGUCUAAUGCAUGAGCAGAAAAACAGGAAAAGGGACAAUGAAAUUUGGCAAUAAUGUCAAACGAUGAUGUAUGUUCACCUACCCAACAGUGAAAAAACUACAUAAGACUUCUAAAUCAAUGUGUGGAUUUGUGUAUGUCGAAUUUCAGAGUGUCCGUUCAUAUAUUAGGAUUGCAGAAGCGAAUCUGCAUGAUAUCUCUGAAAUAGACAAUAUGUGAAUCAAUUGUGUGCCAAAGUUCAGACACUAUAUUCAAAAAUUUGAUCUACAGCAAUGCCCAAUCCCGUAUAUGAAAAAAUAAGACUGUUAAUUUAUCCGAGUGUCAUACUUCUGAUUGUACAUUCAUAUCUUAUGUUUGCACAACAAGUCUGCAUGAUAUCUUUGAAAAGAAAUAAGAUGAGAAUUAUAGCAUGCUCUUCUACUAUAAUUUGGGGUUUGGAACGGCUUUCAUAGGUAUGAACUCUAUUAAGUAAAGGGCACUACAGUAUAGUAUCCACUUGGAGUUUAUAGAUCAGAUAAUGGUUCACAAAAUAUUUUGCUUGAAUACCUCAAUAAUUCUGUCUAAAAAUAAGAACCUGAUUAAUCAGGUACAGAUGGCUUCGGCCGGCUGCUACUAAAAGAUACUCAAUAUUUGUGACUUCACGUGAUGAUUGGAACUUAAGAUCAUCUUUAUCAUUAAAGAUUUCAG
rnacentral:lncRNA from 1 species